rnacentral:rRNA from 1 species
AACGAACGCUGGCGGCAGGCCUAACACAUGCAAGUCGAGCGCGCCUUCGGGUGAACGGCGGACGGGUGAGUAACGCGUGGGAAUAUGCCCUUCUCUACGGAAUAGUCCUGGGAAACUGGGGGUAAUACCGUAUACGCCCUUUGGGGGAAAGAUUUAUCGGGGAAGGAUUAGCCCGCGUUGGAUUAGGUAGUUGGUGGGGUAAUGGCCUACCAAGCCGACGAUCCAUAGCUGGUUUGAGAGGAUGAUCAGCCACACUGGGACUGAGACACGGCCCAGACUCCUACGGGAGGCAGCAGUGGGGAAUCUUAGACAAUGGGGGCAACCCUGAUCUAGCCAUGCCGCGUGAGUGAUGAAGGCCUUAGGGUUGUAAAGCUCUUUCAGCUGGGAAGAUAAUGACGGUACCAGCAGAAGAAGCCCCGGCUAACUCCGUG